CAUUCAAGACCAAUCCCUCCCAGGAAAUGAGAUGGAGGGACUGCUGGAGAACACUGCAGUGUGCAGUUCCUCAGGGCACAAGGCUACAAAACACAUUCUAUCUCUAGCUCUAUAUCCAUAUAGACUGAGAGAUGGCCAAGGGGACCGACAGACAGGAGGACUGAGAGACAGAGACCUUCGUCAAAGGUGUCCACCCUAGAAAAUCGGAACAAGUGGUUGCUGGCAAGCAAAGCAUGUGAUGGUGUCCCAGUUGGGUUCAGAUGGCUCAGAAGAUGUAUUUGGUUCAAGAUUGGAUGGGGAGUGGCAGACCUCCACUUUGGCCAGUGAGCUGUCCACCCUAGAAAAUCAGAACAAGUGGUUGCUGGCAAGCAAAGCAUAUGAUGGUGUCCCUGUGAUGUUCAGGUGGCUCAGAAGAUGUAUUUGGUUCAAGAUUGGAGGGGGAGUGGCAGACCUCUACUUUGGCCAGUGAGGUGAGUGGCUGUGGCAGACUGCAUGAUGCGUCCAAACCCUUUUUCUUUGACUCUUCCAUGAGGCGCUGGAAGUCUUGAAUAGGAAAGCAAGGAAUCAAUAGCUCAGAGGCUAAGCUCUGAGCAUUACUUCAUAGGGAUCUUAACCUGUUGUCCUGACAUUUCCCAAAAAGGAGCAUUUACUAAAGAAGAAUGGCAUUUGCUCGGGCAGGCUAUGAAACAAAGUGAGGCAAAAGGACAUAGAGUGUUAGCCGCCAUUGAGGUCCCAUGCACUCUAGUGAGGAUACUGCACAAACUGUGGAGAGUUGAGCUGUUCCUCACCUGCAGCCCCACCUUUCACUGCUUCUACUCACUCUUCUUUACCCUUUGAAUCAGAUGGCCAAGGAGAUAGACCCCUUCCAUUAUGCUGCAGAUGCCAAGAACCAGCCCCAUGGCCUGGGGCAAGCCUCCUGCCCAAAUCCCUUGUUUCUGUCCUCACUGCUGUCAAAUGAUAGCUAAACCCCAGCAUGGAGGCAUGCUGUCCUCCCAAGGAGCAGAUUUUGCUCGCAAGCUCUCCCAACUUGGCUGCCUCCUGACCACAGUCAACAUGACUUUCACAUCAAUAAAAUGUCCCCUUUUCUUUUGAAGCCA
rnacentral:lncRNA from 1 species